rnacentral:rRNA from 1 species
GACGAACCGUGCGAACGUUAUUCGGAUUCACUGGGCUUAAAGGGCGCGUAGGCGGGCCGUAAAGUCGGGGGUGAAAUCUUUCAGCUCAACUGGAAAAGAGCCUUCGAUGCUGACGGCCUCGAGGGAGGUAGGGGCGUGCGGAACUUCCGGUGGAGCGGUGAAAUGCGUAGAGAUCGGAAGGAACGCCGGUGGCGAAAGCGGCGCGCUGGACCUCUUCUGACGCUGAGGCGCGAAAGCCAGGGGAGCAAACGGG